UGUUGGGACACAAUCCUGUGCCAUGUGCUCUGGAAUGACCCUGCUUGAGCAGAGGUGGGACCCAGUGACCCACUGUGGUCCCUUCCGACCUGCCCCGUUCUGUGAUUCUGGGCUGAAAGGUCACCUGCACAGUGGGCAUUGCUGGGGCCAUGCCUGGGUGAGUGCCAGUAACCAGACCCUGGGUGGUCCAGUGUUCAGGGAGAGUCAUUGAGUCCCCACUCUGCAGGUACUCAGCCAUGUUCACGAGGUCUAAAUCAAUGCUGCCUGUACCCCAUGGUUGUGUUGGGAUGUCCUCAGCCAGGGAUCUUGCCCUGCACUGGUUCUUCGCCCCUUAGCUGGUAGAUCACUCACAUCUGCUCAACAGUGCUUGGUAAACUUGAUUUUCAGCAUUCUCCAGUGAAUAUUGCAGGGAUUGCUCCACUGCAGUCUGUAUUGGAGGUGCUGUUGGUUUGUGAGAGGAGAGGCUGCCCUGCCAGAGGUGCCUGGAAGUGGAGCAGGUUGCAGUGGUCAUGUCCCACCCCACGCACCAGGGAUCAUUGAGCCAUUUAGGUUGGAAAAACAGUAGAAAGAAAUUGCUCCCUGUGAGGGUGGUGAGGUCCUGGCACAGAGAAGCUGUGGAUGCCCCAUCCCUGGAAGAAUCUUAGGCCAGGUUGGAGGGGUCUUGGAGCACCGUGGUCUAGUGCAAGGUGUCCCAGCCAUGGCAGGGAGUGGAAUGAGAAGAGCCUAAAGUCCCUUCCAACUCAAGCCAUUCUAUGAUUCUGUGAAAAGACCUUUAAGAUCAAGUCCAACUGGUAACCCAAUGCAGCCAAGCUCAGGAUUGGAACGUGGAGUUUUCCAGACAACAAGCUUUGGAUGCAGGUGGGAGAUGUUGGUUUGAAAAGUGGCAGGCACUGUGGGAAAUCACGUGUGCAAGGGCACAUCUGCCGUGUAUCCUCUUACCCCCUGGGGCAGCAUUGUCCUUUAAUUGCUGGGUGGGUUAGGCGUGUCAACAGCCAGCAUUGCUGCUGAACUGCAACAGCCAGUCAAAAAAAGGUGAAUUUUCUGGUUGGUUGUCAGUUCCAGAGGUUUCUUUGGCAUAAAGUAUUUUGGCCUUCACUUUGGUUUGUGGACAAGCUUUUCUUUUCUGUUCAUUCAGUUAUUCGAGCUAUCAUGACACGGAGGAAGGGUAAUCAUUUAAGAACUGGAAGACAAGACAGCUGAGAGAAAGCUGGAACCACAACUUAUAUUCUCAUGUCAUUAAAUCAAGUAAAUAUUAAAGAAAGCCCCACUGCAGCCAUUCACAGCUUCUAGUUAAGAGCAGCUGUUGAGCAUUAAGUUUAGAAUCAGUAACAGUCUAAUUCAGGGGAAAAAUUGUGUUAGGGCUUGGAGAGCUGGAUCAUGUGAGAGCUCUCACCUGCAUUGGUGAGAUGUAGUUGAUGGCACUGAGUCCUGUACCAGGGGUCACCUGAUGAGCACAUCCAUGUGCCCCAGAAGCCUCUCUGCCCUUAAGUGUUUCCUUCUGUUUGGAGCUUCAGCAUAAAUAAACCACAUAAGCAUAUCUCAUUGUACAUUAGGAAUUUUUUUUCAAAAGUCCUGGAAAGCAAAGAUUUUAUCUCAACUUCUUUCUUAAUAACAGUUAUUAUAAUUCUCAUUAUCAAGGCAAGACUUAGAGGCCCAUCUGUAUUACUGCUGUCCUUGGUUUUGUGUAUCCAUGUGUAUAUGGGUGUUCUUUGAAAACAGUACUGAGAGCAGUGUGCUGUGUCCUGGGCUUUGAAGAAAUGCACACGUUUUGCUGAAAACAUCUGCAUCUUCAAAAUACUGUAGCACUGCAACACUUUCACUUGUGUUCCAGGUUUCUUUGCAGGCUCUUGGAGCUUUGGGAAUUUGCUUUGCUGUGUUUUUUGAAUAGAGUACAACUUUAAAGCAGAAGCUCCCUGACCGACUUUGAUAUAUUUGAGUGGGUUUUUUUGGUCUGAUUUUUCCUAGUUAGGUUUUUGGGUGGGAUAUUUUUAGUAUAAAGCCUUUUAAGAAUCAGAAGCUUGUUGUGGGCAUGGUGGUGGUGGAGCUGGUUUAAAGAUGAUAGCAGCAAAGCAUUUAUCUCUCUGCCCAUGUGCUGUGUGAUUGUCUGCGUUGCUGAAUUCGUGGCAGGUUGAAGAGCUGUUGAGUACUGACAGUGCCUUUUUAGCCUGGAAUGCCCUAAACUUCUCUGCAGCAUUCCUUUUCCCUACUUUUGUGAGGUCUUAAAACUAUCUUUGUUUGAGUGAGCUGCUGGGUGCUGCUUUUGGGUUCUGUGUGCCCGCAGGCACUAUGGUCUGUGGGACGCAUAAUUAUUGACAUCACUAAGAGAAAGAGGCAAGGAGCUUGGCAAGUAUUUAUGCACUUGAUAGGACAUAAAGGCAUUCUGGGGCACAAAGCCCUUUCAUGCAGUUAGUUCUGCCUGGUCUUUGAGGAUUAAGCUCUGUGCUCAGACCCAUGUCCUUAUUUGAUGCUGCAAUUGCCUUAAUUUCUGAAAGCGUUGGUGUCCUGAAUGGUUAAUGCUGUUUUGCACCUGGUCAGGACCAGCUGCAUUGACUCUGGGUUUCAUGUACAUGCUGCCCUGUGCUGAGUUUUUUGGCACUUUGAGAUGUCUUGAUUAACAUCCAGCGAUGUUCAGUCCGUGUAGAACAGCAUUAACAUUUCAGAGGGGCCUGCAAAAGGUCAGUAAGAACUGCAGGUCUGUUGCCAACAUGUGAAUGUGGAUUUCUUUGAAUCUCUUUACAAUGUGCAGUUCAAAACAAGUUUAAAAACCUUUAGUUUUGGGACUAGGUGCCAGCACAAAGCCUGAUACAGAAAAACACAGCACAGAUCACUACAACUGAGUUAAAGGCUUAGAUCCUGGGAGUGUUUGGAGAUGACAUCUGUGUCCAGAAGUUAGGGUGCUCCCUGGGGAGAGGGGAAUUGGGGUAAUUACCACUCCCUGCACCAGGAACAUCUGGAGUUACAAAAGGCUAUUUCUCUUUGUAUGAGAGGGUAUUAAGACCCCCUAAGUAAGGGUAGGUAAAAGGCCUGGAGACAUGAAAUUGCAGCUGUAAGUCAGGAGAAGAGGGAGCUGAACCUGUUCAUAGGGUGGUGUCUGGAUAAUUGGGUUGGUGAGUGAGAGGAGGGGAGGGCAUUGCUGUGUCCUUUCUUUUGCAUUUCUUAAAAGUAUCCCUUGGCUUCCCCAUUUUCCAUUUCCUCAGAACUUACUACUUAUUUAGGCUUGACCCAGCCAGUCUUUUUUUUCCUUACUGCUCUCCCACUCUGUUCCCAUAUAUUCCCAAAAAAAGGAACUUUGAGGCAGUGGUGCCAGCUUUCAAGUAGAAGAUGGAAGCCAAGGCCUUAGAGUGCGUUCGUUGUCUGCUUUGUUUUUGAAGCCAGAGUGUCACGUUAUUUUUACUGUCUGUGCUGUUUGCUUGUCUGUGAGCACUGGGAUAGCUCUGGCAUCUCCCCAGUGCUUUGUGUGCUUACACUUGAGCACAGCAUUGCUGUAGACCCCUGACACACAGAAACAACGCCGUGCUGUUGAAGAUGCUCUCUUGAAUGCCGGAAGAAGGGGGAAAGAGGCAGCAUGGAGGGUUGUGAAGAAGUUACUACAAGCUCAGAGUAAAGAGAGUUGAGGCUGCAGGGAUGGGGCAGCUGCUGCAGAGCUGGUGCCACUGCCAGAGCAAAAUGUGAACUCUGAAUAAAGCCAUAACCCAC